GAGAAGAGAAACCACGAAGCCAUGUUCCAGUCAGGGAUACCUCCACCUGGCAUAAUCUGGACUAGUUUUCGUUAAAGAGAUUAGUUUGAUAACCACAGUGUGAACUAUAGGGGCCAAAAGAGCAACGCUUCAGAGAGUAGACAAUAAGAGCUCUGAGAGUUCAAAGGGAUCCAGCUCAUUGCCACCUGGUUGUGGUGUGUUUUGAAGUGGGAUCUCAUGUUGUAGGUGCUGUCUAUGUUGUUUCACUGAGGUUGAUCAGUAGCUUUUUUCUGUCUGUAGCCUGGAGGGGCCACACGGCCCGACAGAAUCUCAAGCAAACCAGGAAGGAGUGGGAAGCUGCAGCUGUUUGCAUAAUAUCAGAUAUGAGGGCAGACACAUUUUCAGUGAUGAGAGAGAAGGUAAGUUUAUAUCAGAGAAAUUCAUAUUUUUUUAGCAUGCGGUUCUAGCUUCAGCUGUGCAUUCAUAAUACUGUACUUCUACAAAGCCCCUUUAACAUAGAUUAUUCGUGAGAGUUUUUUUCGAGUCCUUGAGACAAAAGACUUCUCUUGCUCCAAACUCCAUCUCAGAGGAGAGACAGGGUGGUACGGGUAUGGAAGAAUCAAAAGGCUGGAAAUUCACUGCUGAGAAUAAAUGCUGGCUGUUCCCUGAGGUGAUUUGUCUUUGCGCUUCUCUUUCUACAGAUGUAAGAGCCCUUUUUUUAGUAAAGACCUGAGGUUCUUUGGUAGCACUUUGAUAUCCUGCUCGAAUUCAAUAUGUGAAAUAGAAGAGCCACUCCGUGACUCGGAGCACAUCACAGUCUUUGAAGUCUGAUCCAAUUUUUGCUGCUCACCAUUUGAUGUUGAAAGGAUGAAAUGAGGAAAACGUAGAGUUUUUGCCAGUAACUCUGCUGAGCAUAUGUAAGAUUAAAAAAGCAAAAUCCUUUGGAGGAUGUACUUAGAAAUGUUAAGCAGAUUAAUACUUUCCUAUAGCUCUUUUAUUUAAAGAUAAAAUUAAAUAUGAGAGGAUGUCUGUGUGUGCUGUUAUUUUCACCCUCACAAUUAAGUCAGUGUGCUGCUAUUUGCAGGAAGGUAGGGGUAACAGAGGGGCCUAUGCGAUGGCAUUAGCAUGUGAUUAACAUUGCAAAACACAUUCAUGGGUUCUAGUAAAUGCAUCUGC
rnacentral:lncRNA from 1 species